CAAAUUCAUUCUCCUUCUCUAAUCCCAAAAACCUUUCAAAUUAAUAUUUCAGGCUCAUGUUCCAGAGAAGAAACUGCAACUAACAGGAUAAGUUUUGACGAUGGACACAUGCCUCGUCAAGAAUUUGCAGGAGACAGUACUUCCCCAAGGAAUGCUUCCCCAAAGCAACAUUCUUCCCUUUUAAGAUGGUUGGGUUAUCAUUACUCAUUUUUCAUUCAAAAGCAAGAUAUUUGCUAUCAUCUUUGCUAUCAUCAAUAUCCAGGAAUAGUAGACAAAAUGCAAUAGAGUAAAAGGUAUUUGGAACAUCAGAAAAAUUCUCCCUCAAUCAAAUAAAAAAGUGAAUCCAGCAGAAGCAAAGGUAAAUGAAUGAAGAGGAUCAGACUAUUAUGAUGAAUUUGGGAAGUACAACUGUUAAAGUUUUCAAGCCCAAGAACUUGAUGGAGAGAGCAAGUAGAAUGGCUUAUGAACAACUGUCUUUAUCUGGAAGAUUCUGUAAAUGAAAAAGAGAACACAUUUCCUUCCUAGAGAAAUCAAGCUGCAAAUAAACAGAAUCUGUUUAUAUCCUAAA